UACGGGAGUGGCAAGGGUUAUCCGGAAUUAUUGGGCGUAAAGCGUCCGCAGGCGGUUUUACAAGUCUGUCGUUAAAGCGUGGGGCUCAACGCCAUUUCAGCGGUGGAAACUGUAAGACUUGAGUGGGGUAGGGGCAGAGGGAAUUUCCGGUGUAGCGGUGAAAUGCGUAGAUAUCGGGAAGAACACCAGUGGCGAAAGCGCUCUGCUGGGCCAUAACUGACGCUCAUGGACGAAAGCCAGGGGAGCGAAAGGGAUUAGAUACCCCUGUAGUCCUGGCCGUAAACGAUGAACACUAGGUGUCGGGGGAAUCGACCCCCUCGGUGUCGUAGCCAACCCGUUAAGUGUUCCGCCUGGGGAGUACGCACGCAAGUGUG
rnacentral:rRNA from 1 species